rnacentral:rRNA from 1 species
UACAGAGGCCCCAAGCGUUACUGAGAAUCACUGGGUUUAAAGGGUGCGUAGGUGGCGCGUUAAGUCCGUUGUGAAAGCCCUGGGCUCAACCCAGGAACUGCUUCGGAUACUGGCGCGCUUGAGGCUAGUAGGGGUCACUGGAACUGGCGGUGGAGCGGUGAAAUGCGUAGAUAUCGUCAGGAACGCCAAUGGUGAAGACAGGUGACUGGGCUAGUUCUGACACUGAGGCACGAAAGCGUGGGGAGCGAACGGGG